GUUGCAGCAACCUGGAAGCUGGAGGCAAGUAAAUAGAAGAGGAGAGCUUUUGGAUCUCCCAGACUUAGACAACUAUCCUGAAGUGAGAGGAGGGAGUCGUGUCAGAGCCUGAGGACCAGAAAGGAACCAUCUGAAGUAGAUAGAGGUCAGCUGGAGACACACGGCAGGAGAAAAGCCCUAACAAACUAGACCUUCUUCCAAGUACAUGGGCCUGACUUCUUCAGAACAAGGCAAGAGCCAAAACAAAACCUUAAAAAAACGCCUACCCCUGAACAGGAAUUCCCCCAGACUCACGGUAACGCCCUAGUUACACAGCAGAAAGAACAAAGAAGGGAUUUAAGCAUCCUGAAAUCGAAACGGCUAUUUGCUAAACGCGAGGAUCAGCAGAAUGGUUAGAUUCCAGAAAAUGCUGAACCUCUGAGGCCUCUGUUUUCUUCCAUCCUGAUGUUAGGUUGCUGGCAGCCCACGCUGAGCUGCUUUAUGAGAAUGUGCAGCUAGGCCACUGCCUCUAGAAAGAUGAGGGAGGAAGGAAGGGCAGACUGGACUUGCUUGGAAUGUGGAAGCUCUGUGUUGAAGGCAAAAUCGCAAGUCAAACCAUUGUAGCCUGGGACAUGUGUGUGGACUUGCAUUCCUUCCUCUGAGAGAACACACUGAAGGCUGCUCCCUUCUUGAUAUGGCAGGGCUUCCUGAGGACAUAAUGCACAGCUAGCAUGCUUCCGGCAGGUGAUGUGCCUUCUCCUGCUUCACCUUCCACCGGGAG